AAGUAAUCUCUGUACCCAGCGUGGGGCUCGGACUUACAACCAAGGGAUCAAGAGUUGCACACUCCAUCAACUGAGCCAGCCAGACACCCCCUGAAUUUCUGAUAAUAGGUCAGAGAAAGGAUCAUCUGCUUCUGACCUGGUUGACUGUGGGUAACUGAAACCACAGAAAGAAAACCCCGGCAUCUGAUGCCCCUGUCCAUCACAGAAGCCCAAAGUGCCAGCUGUUUGCUCUCCAUCCUUCCUGACCAAGUACAUGGCUCAGGCUCUGCCAGUUGGAAUCACCUGUGCCAGUCUUGGACUCGCCAUCUGGUGCUGUGUCGGGGAGCAGCAGGGAGGGGACAGCAUGCAUGUGUAGGACACGUUCUGCAUCAUUUUCUUCUUGCCUGAGCUAUCUUCUCCACUCGAAAACCUCUGAGCCAAUCCAAUCGUUCUUUAAGGCCACUUUCAAACUUGCAAAAAAUAAAAGGAAGCCGUGUCAACAAAGAUAACACAUUGCACAGAAAGUCACAGGAACUGAUGUGGUGUGCCAGGCAAGACCACAACGUCUAGAUAUCUACAGAACUGGAAAGAUAAUGUCAGCCUCUAUUAGAGCAAAAGUUUGCAUUGUUACUGGCAUAAGAAUUUUGGAAAAGCUCCUCACCCCUGGAACUUUACUAUACUGAAUAAGCAGACAGUACCCAAAAAUCUGUCAACUAUGACGAUAGCUGGCUGUCUUUUAUGUACAGUUCUCAUCACAUAAGCUCAACCCAAAUGGUGCCAAAACAAUCCAUCAUUUUGUUUUAUUUGGUAUUUUAAUGCAAAACAGGUCUCCCAAAAAUCUAUCCAAAAGUUGUAUUUUCCAGACCUUUAACAAAGAAACUGCUUAGUUGUUCUGUUUUGUUUUUAUUUCUUCUGAAACCUUGGUAAAGCAAUUGCAAGCCCAUAUUAUCUUGUAUAUUUUACCUUCAUAGGGGCUUUAAAAAAAACUUAAAACCCCUUAGCUUUAUAAAGUUUGGGCAAAGAGUCCACAGGCAAGAAAGAGUAAAGUUAAAUCAGAUAUUAAACCAUCUACUACUCACAACGAAGUUGCCAUAUACUGCCCCAGACAGAUUUAUUUCAAAAAGCUUUCAUUGGCUCCAACCAUGUAAAAGCAUGCAAGCACUGAGUGGUGAAGUCAAUGCAUAAAGUACUACAAGACCAUAAAAAUAACCCUCAAACAGAGGCUACAUGAGGAAGGGCCAUCCUCUGAGGUUAAGUAACCAAAUUCCACACAAGAUGGUUGGAAUUAGUGAUCCACGGCUGAGCCAUUCAACUGCUGAGAAGGCAAAGGGAGUCCCAGUAAGGACUACUACAAUUUUUAUGUCCAUAAAACUUGCCAACAAUGACAAUAUAACAACCACAGCCUUUCUCAGAAAAAUAAAUAACCUUUUUUUUCCCCUCUCAUGGUAGCUAUUACAUACAAAAUAUUGACAGACACUACUUCAUAAGAGGAUUUCCCAAAAGCAAACCAUCCUACGAUGUGAUAUGGAAAUAAUCUGCCACCAACAUGAAGGGGUCUCACUCUCAUAGUUAGGAAAGAGGGCACCUAAAAGGAAAUAAAGUACCCAGUACAUACUGAGUUCCUAUUAUGUACUAUGCCUUACAAAGGGAAUGGAAGCCAAGGCAGAGAAGUCAACCACUAUUCAGCACCCGGUACCAGGCACUCAGACGAAAGUGCUUUCACACCUACCUCACUCAGAGUUAGGUAUUAUUAUUCACAUUUCUACAGAUUAACAAACUGAAGUCAGAGCAAUUAAGCAAUUCUCCCAGGUCACAGAGACACAAAUUGUAGUCAAAAGUGUCACAGUUUGAACCCAGGCCUCAUGCCUCCUUCAGUGUACCUUGCUUCUUAAAAGCACAACUCGUACCCUCAAGGAAUGUACCAUCUGGUAAAUCUGGAAGCUUUGACAAUAAUAACAUGUAAGAUGUACUGUAAUGAAAUGGCUUGAUGGCAAAGUGCCAUAAACAGAGGAACAGUACCUUAAGUAUAAAAGAAGGAGAAGAAGAUAAAAACAAGUAGUGUUUCAAUCACACUGUCCAUUAAAGAGGGUGGCCCCCUAGGGGCGCCUCGGUGGCUCAGUCAGUUGAGUGUCCGACCUCGGCUCAGGUCAUGAUCUCGCCCAGAAAGUAGCAAAGCUGGAAGAAUAUAUACUUUUAAAACAAUCCGUUGAAACUUACUCAAACCAUAUUUACCAUAUUUGCGUUUUAAGUCACAUCCUCAAAGGGGACCGCACUGGCCAGCUAAUGCAAGCAUCUAAUCCAUCGAAAAGUUAAGAUUUUUGUAUAGUAAAGUCAUAAAUUGGCCUAUUAAAAAGUAAUGUCUAAUCUCUUAAAAAUUAUAAAAAUAAGACUCAUAAGCUCCUGCCCCAUCAUCUCUGGAUGAAACAAUAAAAUCAAAUAUCCCAAUCUGUUCAAUGGUGGCCCCCGACCAAGGCUCAGAACUGUAAGUGCCACCACCAAAGGGCCAGCCUUCACUUUCAUGCCUCCC